CAGAACGAACGCUGGCGGCGUGGAUAAGACAUGCAAGUCGGACGCUUGUAUUUUGUAGCAAUAUGAGGAUACGGGAGUGGCGAAAGGGUGCGUAACACGUGGGUAAUUUGUCUGAGAGUUCAGGAUAAUUCGCUGAAAGGCGGAGUAAUACUGGAUGUGGAUAUUGGUUGGGAACAGCUGAUAUCUAAAGCCGGGGACCGCAAGGCCUGGUGCUCUUAGGUAAGCCCGCGACCUAUCAGCUAGUUGGUGAGGUAAGAGCCCACCAAGGCGGAGACGGGUAGCUGGUCUGAGAGGACGACCAGCCACACUGGAACUGAGACACGGUCCAGACACCUACGGGUGGCAGCAGUCGAGAAUUUUUCUCAAUGGGGGAAACCCUGAAGGAGCGACGCCGCGUGGGGGAUGAAAGGGCUUCGGCUCGUAAACCCCUGUCAUUUGUGAGCAAGUGUUAUUGUUUAAGAGAUGAUGACAUUGAUAGUAGCAAAAGAGGAAGGGACGGCUAACUCUGUGCCAGCCGCCGC
rnacentral:rRNA from 1 species